GUGGAUGUUUUCAAGGUUGGAAAUAAAUGCAUAUAACCUUCUGCAUCUAAAUACAAUCAUGUUUCAUUCCGGAAUACUUCAACCAGGUUAUUAUUCGCAUGAUAGACCUGAGUAUAUGAAUUAUGGAGGUAUUGGGGCCACUAUCGGUCAUGAAAUCGCACAUGGAUUUGAUGAUAUAGG